CUUGGUGGCAUUUAUAUGUAUUGGAAUUCCAACAUAAGUAAUGAGCUUGCGAUGGCAAAAAGAGGAACAAAAAGACGGAUCUGCUGACACAGGUGAAUGAGUACUAUGCAAAAAAUCUCUGAAUUUGAAGUUGAUAAGUGUUUUGACCUUAUGUUUCAAUUCCCUGGGUGACUUCUUAUUCUUACUUCUCAGUCUAUUUCACUUUAUUCUAAAUGUAACUGAUACGGCUACCUUUAUAUCCAAACCAUGACACUGCAAUAUGCAUUCAUUUGUUCAUCAAGGAAUUCAUUACUAAAGGAAGCAAUGUAGGAUCCCUAGCCUUGGGAAAACAGGA
rnacentral:lncRNA from 1 species